UACGUAGGGUGCAAACGUUGCUCGGAAUCAUUGGGCGUAAAGCGCACGUAGGCGGCGCGUUAAGUCGGGUGUGAAAGCCCUGGGCUCAACCCAGGAAGUGCAUUCGAAACUGGCGCGCUUGAAUAUGGAAGAGGGUCGCGGAAUUCCCGGUGUAGAGGUGAAAUUCGUAGAUAUCGGGAGGAACACCAGUGGCGAAGGCGGCGACCUGGGCCAAUAUUGACGCUGAGGUGCGAAAGCGUGGGGAGCAAACAGG
rnacentral:rRNA from 1 species